rnacentral:rRNA from 1 species
UACGGAGGGAGCUAGCGUUGUUCGGAAUUACUGGGCGUAAAGCGUGCGCAGGCGGUUUUGUAAGUCUGUCGUGAAAUCCCCGGGCUCAACCUGGGAAUUGCGAUGGAGACUGCAAGGCUAGAAUCUGGCAGAGGGGGGUAGAAUUCCACGUGUAGCAGUGAAAUGCGUAGAGAUGUGGAGGAACACCGAUGGCGAAGGCAGCCCCCUGGGUCAAGAUUGACGCUCAUGCACGAAAGCGUGGGGAGCAAACGAGG